UACGUAGGGGGCAAGCGUUGUCCGGAAUCAUUGGGCGUAAAGAGCGUGUAGGCGGCCCGGUAAGUCUGUUGUGAAAGUCCAGGGCUCAACCCUGGAAAGCCGAUGGAUACUGCCGGGCUAGAGUUCGGAAGAGGCGAGUGGAAUUCCUGGUGUAGCGGUGGAAUGCGCAGAUAUCAGGAGGAACACCCGUGGCGAAGGCGGCUCUCUGGGACGGUACUGACGCUGAGACGCGAAAGCGUGGGGAGCGAACAGG
rnacentral:rRNA from 1 species